rnacentral:lncRNA from 1 species
GUUAAACAGACAUUACACAGACACAGUGUGGUGAACGGGGUUAAACAACAGAAAAACAUACAGUGUGUGAACGGGGUAAACAGACUUAAACAGACACAGUGUGUGAACGGGGUUAAACAGACUACAGUGUGUGAACGGGGUUAAACAGACACACAGUGUGUGAAACGGGGGUUAACACAGACAUACAGUAUGUGAACGGGGGUAAACAGACACACAGUGUGUGAACGGGGUUAAACAGACAUUAAACAGACAUACAGUGUGUGAACGGGGGUUAAACAGACAUACAGUGUGUGAACGGGGGUUAAACAGACACACAGUGUGUGAACGGGGGUUAAACAGACAUACAGUAUGUACGCUAUGUGAAGUAGCACUCAAUAUCUGUAGAAUAUACAGCGGAGCGAAGGUAUGAGUCAGUCAAAAUGAUGAAAAAGGACAGAGUGGGACGGAAGAUGAAACCUCCUCCAGCAUGACAUGGCAUAUCACAGAGAUACAGGAGGAAUUCCACACAUGCAAAAAUAAUGAUACUGGGGAAAUUCUGUAUUCGAUGAGCGGUUUUCCAAAUUAGAUUCUCAACUAGAUCAGCGGUUGCACAGAAUAGAUAGGGGGAGACCGAAAGAGGAAGUGUCUAAGUCUCUAACACUACACAUAAUGCUUUUAUCAGGGGAACACCUUAUCAAAUGACAAGCAGACAACUCCAACUAUAUUAAUUCACCAACAUACAACACCCGUUACACAUUAUAUCCUAGUUUUAUUGAAAUAGAAAAGAUCAGAAUUGAGUACAGGUAUUUGGAACACACAUUUCAGUUGAUGGCAUUCAGUUGUACAACUGACUAGGUAUCCCGCUUUCCUAUUUGCACUUUCUCACUAAAAUCAAGAAGACACUUGACAUUACCAGAAUUAAUGUAGUCCUCACAUGCUGAAUUUUAACUGUCAUUUCACAUGUAUCAAACAUAUGGAAUACAAUUUCUACAUACUGUGACACAUCGCCCUGGUGGUACGCCUAUAGGCCAUAUCUGUGACCGGUAGAGCAGCCAUGAGGGUCAGGAGCUAUUGUCUGCCCUAAAAGGGAGAAGAGAUUUUUUGUGUAUUUUUUUAAAUCUCCUCCUUAGAUGACCUGGUAUAUCACCCACAGGGCAGUGUCACCUGUUAUGGUAAACACACCGCCUUAAAAACUCUCACCAUCACAAGAAUAACACUCCAACUCGCUCAACCACAGAUAAAAAAAAUAUAAAAGCCUAAGUUUUCUUUUCAACGUCUUAUAAGGUUCUUUGAAACUCACACAACACCUCCGCCAGGUUCCCAAAAUUGCCAUGAGUUUCACAGAAAACAGCAGGGUCGGGGAAA